rnacentral:rRNA from 1 species
GACGAACGCUGGCGGCGUGCCUAAUACAUGCAAGUCGAGCGGACAGACGGGAGCUUGCUCCCUGAUGUUAGCGGCGGACGGGUGAGUAACACGUGGGUAACCUGCCUGUAAGACUGGGAUAACUCCGGGAAACCGGGGCUAAUACCGGAUGGUUGUCUGAACCGCAUGGUUCAGACAUAAAAGGUGGCUUCGGCUACCACUUACAGAUGGACCCGCGGCGCAUUAGCUAGUUGGUGAGGUAACGGCUCACCAAGGCAACGAUGCGUAGCCGACCUGAGAGGGUGAUCGGCCACACUGGGACUGAGACACGGCCCAGACUCCUACGGGAGGCAGCAGUAGGGAAUCUUCCGCAAUGGACGAAAGUCUGACGGAGCAACGCCGCGUGAGUGAUGAAGGUUUUCGGAUCGUAAAGCUCGGUUGUUAGGGAAGAACAAGUGCCGUUCAAAUAGGGCGGCACCUUGACGGUACCUAACCAGAAAGCCACGGCUAACUACGUG